rnacentral:lncRNA from 11 species
CGGACGCCGACGAGGCCGGCUGCUUCUUCUGGUGCUGCUGAUGGUGGCAAAGGGAGAGCUCCGCGCGCUCGCCUUCGUCGUCCCAGUCGUCUUGCAGGGAGAGCUCGAGGGUUUUGAGGAUAACAUCAGUGAUAGGGCAGGGCCUGGGAGCUCUCUCUCACUUGUGCAAAAUGACAGACCUGGAACAUGA